CAUAAACAAAGUCUUUUGGAUUGUGCAUAAUUGGCACUGCCACUACCUCUGGUCUUCUUAGGUACAUCCGAUUGCUUACAACUGCACAUCUUUGCCCAUACUGGCUUUUUUUCAUGGAACCAUAUUUCCUCACCUCCACCCCCACUCAACAGUGACUAUUUGAAAUAAGAGGAAAUGCUUCUGUGGUUUUUUGGCUGGAGUCACUGUUGCCCCACUGAGCAUCACAGGAGGCAGCAGGGCCAUGGCUGUGCCCAGGGAAGAUCUCUGCUGCAGAGCUUCUCUCUGCAAACUGACCCCAAGGAGGCUGUUCUUCCAUCAAAGUGCAAAGAGUUGAAGCAGCAGGUGUAGUAUCAAGGAUGACAAGUCUUUACCACCUUCAUCUCUGAGAAAAGCAGCAGCAUAAUGAAGAUAAAUAGGAAUUUUACAGACAGGCUUUAAGUGGAAGCAAUGCCACAGCAGUGCUCAGCCACAGUGCUCCUCAUCAGCUUACUUCUCAAGCACAUGGAAAUCCAGUCAACAGAAGAUGUACUAUGCUGGCUACACAGAAUGCUCUGUCUGCAGCACCAAAGAUCAUCUGAUCAUCUCCAUUCAAACAGAAACCAGUUAUGUUCAGCACCCCACACAUCUUCUCUGGGCAGUGAAACACUGAGAAAAAUUAUACCCAAAAAGGAGAAAAACCAUUAUUUACCAAUGGAUAGGCAAUGUGAAGAAAUCUGA
rnacentral:lncRNA from 1 species